UGGCAGUGCUGAUGUCUCGCUCUAAAAAACACGUGUUUACUCAUGGUGAACAAAAAAACCCUGCAGCAGCUGAAAAGAAAGUUGUCCAGACGUGAUCCCUCAACGAUGCAUGUGUGAUACAGGUUUGUUCUGCAUUCAGGUCUUCCCAUCAUCCCAUGGACUCUGACCAAGGUGCUGCAGCAUGACGCCUACACCACCUUGUUUCAGAAUGGAAAUUGUGUGCUUAGAAUAAUGCAUGGUAUUCAUUUUGCUCAACACAUAUGUGCAGACUGUCUAUGAGAUGUGUCUAAAGAUUCUUCCAGAGGAGCUGUGGAUCUCUGCAGCUCCUCUUGAGUUACCACUGGCAUCUGUGACGCUCCUCUGAUAAAGGACUCUUUCCUGACCCAUCAGAGUAGUCAAGUGCUGCAUGUGAAACUCCUUGCAACGUGCAGAACAAUCAAAUCUCUGCCGUGACAAGUGGUGCGUUCUCCUAUGCCCCCACUGGCCUGCUAUCGACUCGCAGCUCUCUCUCACACCCCAGCUUCCCCCCUUCCCGCCUCCUGCUGUCUCAACAAUUAAAUCAGUCAAGCUGACUCUCUUUCCUGUGUGCUGGGGGCCAGCAGAGGGGAAGUACACAAGGAAAGAAAAGCACUCCCUGAGUUCAAGUGCACAGGCUUUAAAGACACAGCUGGCUUCAGCAAACCGGACCAAUCGACGAGGGAAAAUCAGCCGUGGAAGAGCAGAAUAAUACACCGCUGACAACGUGGUGGUGUACGUGGAGGCGGUAUGGGAAUUGUCUUAUAAAGAGAUGAGAUAUUUGAAAAAAAGAAAAAAAAGAAAAAGAAAAUCCCAACAGGAAAACUGAGGAAAAAUGUCUCCUCCCCUUUUUUUUUUUUUCUCCAUAUAUACUCCCUCCCACCUUGGGCUCCCUCCCUCGCUCUCUCCUUCGUUUCUAUCCUGCAUACAUAUACACACUCCCACAAACACGAUGACUGAUGUCUUUCCCUUCUCCAGCCCGCUCCGAUUUUCUCAGCAGCCCUUUCUGCAGCUCCAAGACUUUCCAUUUGUUCUCGGGUGAAGCAUCCGGUGGAACUGGUUGUGCAGAGCUCUGGCACAUGUUGUCCCAGAUACACACUCAGCAGCAGUGGAUCAGCGUGCCUCUCACUUUACCGCCUGUGACUUUAUCCGCUGCCUUUCCCCUCCAGCGCUCCUCCUCGCAGGACCGACUUCCUUUGUCCAUAAGGCAUGUUUUCCUUUCAAAGUGCUGAAUGCCAAGGGGAUGAAGAACAGACAAAUGGUGCUUGCGGAGAAGAUGGGGAGGCAUCAGUGGAUAAAAUCUGACACUACUUGAGUGCCGUGGAGAUGCCAGAGUGCAAAACGACUUAAAAAAAAACCCCACAAACGAGACUAAGAAUGAGGGAACGGAGAGAAAGAAUCAGAUUGGAAUCGGGAAAGAAGAAACUUUGGAAAAAAGGUAAAAAAAAGAGAAUAAAUUAACUAAUAACAGUUUAUUGUGAGCUUGAUUUACAAGAAAUACAUUCGUAGCUCUGUGUUUUCUGUGUUUUCUGGUUUUCGCUGUGUGCGUUUUUGUGUUCUCGGCUCUGUUUGGUUUUGUCCUUUACCUCCCUCCCGCCUUGCAACGUUUUCCCACGAGUCCCAGCUGUUGUCCCCUAGCUGAAAAGGCACGUUUGCUCAAAGAAAACUUGUAUAAAAUAAGUUCAGUUCUAGCUGAUGGCUUGGCGUUGGUGCUGGGGCCCAGACAGGAACGAUGAAGGAGAAGGAAGAGUAAAAUUUUGCUGCUCUGUUAUUCUUUCCCUUGUAAAUUGCUACUCCGCUAUCUCGGUGUCCUGUGAGUGGUUUUGGACUUGUGUUACUUAUUCUACUUUCUGCUGAUAUGAAUCUGAAGAAUGACACAAAGUAUUCGAAUCAUUCGUCCGUCAUCCUCCCCGCCUCGAAAUCGACGCGGCCCACCCCUCUACUUCCCGUCUCUGUUUGUUUUCGGUCUCAGUAUGCAUUCCCCGUUAUACGGCUACAAACUAAACAUCAUCUCUGUUCUUCUAAACAUCCACAAACAUUGAAAGUAGCAGUCUGAAUCCCCCAACGCUUUGUGCCCAAGCCUACACAUGACAUGAUGAAGUGUGUUUGCAAACCUCCCUCCAUUGUUUCAUAGGGACAGACGUUUUUGAGGAAACCUUCUCAUCUUCGUUGAUGCUCCUCAUAAGAUUGCCCAUCUUCAUCUCCAAAUGUAACAAGUUCUCGCUCUAUAUUUGAACUCUCAAUGAUUGGUGCUCUGCCAUCUGCCGCCAUUUGGCAAAGAGCAAGUGUGGGGUGUGUUCUGAUCAGUGGAUCAAAAAUUAUCAAGUAACGUUCGCUCGAUGAUUUCAAUAGACGGUGCUAACGAGAUCGAACUCCAGCCGAAAAUAAUGAAAUAAAGCAGACAUUGUUACAACGAUCUAA